rnacentral:rRNA from 1 species
ACGAACGCUGGCGGCGUGCCUAAUACAUGCAAGUCGAACGCUUCUUUCCUCCCGAGUGCUUGCACUCAAUUGGAAAGAGGAGUGGCGGACGGGUGAGUAACACGUGGGUAACCUACCCAUCAGAGGGGGAUAACACUUGGAAACAGGUGCUAAUACCGCAUAACAGUUUAUGCCGCAUGGCAUAAGAGUGAAAGGCGCUUUCGGGUGUCGUUGAUGGAUGGACCCGCGGUGCAUUAGCUAGUUGGUGAGGUAACGGCUCACCAAGGCCACGAUGCAUAGCCGACCUGAGAGGGUGAUCGGCCACACUGGGACUGAGGCACGGCCCAGACUCCUACGGGAGGCAGCAGUAGGGAAUCUUCGGCAAUGGACGAAAGUCUGACCGAGCAACGCCGCGUGAGUGAAGAAGGUUUUCGGAUCGUAAAACUCUGUUGUUAGAGAAGAACAAGGACGUUAGUAACUGAACGUCCCCUGACGGUAUCUAACCAGAAAGCCACGGCUAACUACGUG